rnacentral:sRNA from 1 species
CUGCUGCUGCAGCAGUUGCUGCUGCUGCUGCUGCUGCAGCAGUUGCUGCUGCUGCUGCAGCAGUUGCUGCUGCUGCUGCUGCUGUAGCAGUUGCUGCUGCUGCUGCAGCAGUUGCUGCUGCUGCUGCAGCAGUUGCUGCAGCAGUUGCUGCUGCUGCUGCUGCUGUAGCAGUUGCUGCUGCUGCUGCAGCAGUUGCUGCUGCUGCUGCAGCAGUUGCUGCUGCUGCUGCUGCUGUAGCAGUUGCUGCUGCUGCUGCAGCAGUUGCUG